GGCUCCCGCUCUCCCCGCAGUCCCUGCAAUGCGGGCGGCGGCCACAGGGUGUCAGGCGGGUGCCGGCCUUCCCAGCGAGCACCGGCGGCCGGACCCCGGUAACGCUCCUGCGCCCAGCAAGCCCGGUGGGCCUGGGGAGGAAGCCUCGGAAAACUGUAAAUAAUGGGCUGGUUUUGCCAAAACCGAUACCCCCCCCCGAGUGCGCCUUUCUGUCGGGGGAAGGAUGGCUCCUGCUCCUUCUCCUACGGCACGGAGGGAAGAGUGCGAUGUUUUCCAGGUAUGAAACGAGGAAGAGGAGGUGUGUGUUUCCUGAGAAAAAGUAGUAGGGGUUGUCCUGGGCUUCCUGUGGGAUUCUGGAGGAAAAAUGAAAAGGUAUCACGGCUUUGUGAGUGCAGUGUGGUGUGUGGUCAUCCCCCCUGUGCUCUCACCACCAGCAAGCAGAAGAUGCCACCUCUGCACACCUUCCUGGAAGAUGAACUGGGGUCCCUGCUGGAAGUCCCCCCUGCAUUUACUGGGGGCUGCUACCUCCUCCAGGCACCAUGUUGA
rnacentral:lncRNA from 1 species